UACGUAGGGAGCAAGCGUUGUCCGGAAUCAUUGGGCGUAAAGCGCGCGUAGGUGGCUUCAUAAGUCCGUUGUGAAAGUCAAAGGCUCAACCUUUGAAAGCCGAUGGAUACUGUGGAGCUAGAGUACGGAAGAGGCGAGUGGAAUUCCUGGUGUAGCGGUGGAAUGCGCAGAUAUCAGGAGGAACACCGGUGGCGAAGGCGGUUCUCUGGGCAUUACCUGACGCUGAGGAGCGAAAGCAUGGGGAGCGAACAGG
rnacentral:rRNA from 1 species